AACGAACGCUGGCGGCAUGCCUAACACAUGCAAGUCGAACGAGAUCUUCGGGUCUAGUGGCGCACGGGUGCGUGACGCGUGGGAAUCUGCCCUUUGGUUCGGAAUAACAGUUGGAAACGACUGCUAAUACCGGAUGAUGACGAAAGUCCAAAGAUUUAUCGCCAGAGGAUGAGCCCGCGUAGGAUUAGCUAGUUGGUGUGGUAAAGGCGCACCAAGGCGACGAUCCUUAGCUGGUCUGAGAAGAUGAUCAGCCACACUGGGACUGAGACACGGCCAAGCCUCCUACGAGAGGCAGCAGUGGGGAAUAUUUGACAAUGGGCGAAAGCCUGAUCCAGCAAUGCCUCGUGAGUGAUGAAGGCCUUAGGGUUGUAAAGCUCUUUUACACGGGAUGAUAAUGACAGUACCGGGAGAAUAAGCUCCGGCUAACUCCGUUCCAGCAGCCGCCGUAA
rnacentral:rRNA from 1 species